AGGGAAUCUUCCGCAAUGGACGAAAGUCUGACGGAGCAACGCCGCGUGAGUGAAGAAGGCCUUCGGGUCGUAAAACUCUGUUGCCGGGGAAGAACAAGUGCCGUUCGAACAGGGCGGCGCCUUGACGGUACCCGGCCAGAAAGCCACGGCUAACUACGUGCCAGCAGCCGCGGUAAUACGUAGGUGGCAAGCGUUGUCCGGAAUUAUUGGGCGUAAAGCGCGCGCAGGCGGCUUCUUAAGUCUGAUGUGAAAUCUUGCGGCUCAACCGCAAGCGGUCAUUGGAAACUGGGAGGCUUGAGUGCAGAAGAGGAGAGUGGAAUUCCACGUGUAGCGGUGAAAUGCGUAGAGAUGUGGAGGAACACCAGUGGCGAAGGCGGCUCUCUGGUCUGUAACUGACGCUGAGGCGCGAAAGCGUGGGGAGCAAAC
rnacentral:rRNA from 1 species